GAUGAACGCUAGCGGCAGGCCUAACACAUGCAAGUCGAGGGAGAAGCCCUUUCGGGGGCAGAAACCGGCGCACGGGUGCGUAACGCGUAUGCAACCUACCUUUCACAGGGGGAUAGCCCGAAGAAAUUUGGAUUAAUACCCCAUAAUAUUAUUGGAUGGCAUCAUUUGAUAAUUAAAACUGCGGUGGUGAAAGAUGGGCAUGCGUCCUAUUAGCUAGUUGGAGUGGUAACGGCACCCCAAGGCUACGAUAGGUAGGGGUCCUGAGAGGGAGAUCCCCCACAGUGGUACUGAGAAAGGGACCAGACUCAUACGGGAGGCAGCAGUGAGGAAUAUUGGUCAAUGGUCGGAAGACUGAACCAGCCAUGCCGCGUGCAGGAAGAAUGCCUUAUGGGUUGUAAACUGCUUUUAUAUGGGAAGAAUAAGGUGUACGUGUACAUUGAUGACGGUACCAUAUGAAUAAGCAUCGGCUAACUCCGUG
rnacentral:rRNA from 1 species